AGAGUUUGAUCCUGGCUCAGAUUGAACGCUGGCGGCAUGCUUUACACAUGCAAGUCGGACGGCAGCACAGGGAAGCUUGCUUCUCGGGUGGCGAGUGGCGAACGGGUGAGUAACAUAUCGGAACGUACCGGGUAGCGGGGGAUAACUGAUCGAAAGAUCAGCUAAUACCGCAUACGUCUUGAGAGGGAAAGCAGGGGACCUUCGGGCCUUGCGCUAUCCGAGCGGCCGAUAUCUGAUUAGCUGGUUGGCGGGGUAAAGGCCCACCAAGGCGACGAUCAGUAGCGGGUCUGAGAGGAUGAUCCGCCACACUGGGACUGAGACACGGCCCAGACUCCUACGGGAGGCAGCAGUGGGGAAUUUUGGACAAUGGGCGCAAGCCUGAUCCAGCCAUGCCGCGUGUCUGAAGAAGGCCUUCGGGUUGUAAAGGACUUUUGUCAGGGAAGAAAAGGCCGUUGCCAAUAUCGGCGGCCGAUGACGGUACCUGAAGAAUAAGCACCGGCUAACUACGUGCCAGCAGCCGCGGUAAUACGUAGGGUGCGAGCGUUAAUCGGAAUUACUGGGCGUAAAGCGGGCGCAGACGGUUACUUAAGCAGGAUGUGAAAUCCCCGGGCUCAACCCGGGAACUGCGUUCUGAACUGGGUGACUCGAGUGUGUCAGAGGGAGGUGGAAUUCCACGUGUAGCAGUGAAAUGCGUAGAGAUGUGGAGGAAUACCGAUGGCGAAGGCAGCCUCCUGGGAUAACACUGACGUUCAUGUCCGAAAGCGUGGGUAGCAAACAGGAUUAGAUACCCUGGUAGUCCACGCCCUAAACGAUGUCAAUUAGCUGUUGGGCAACUUGAUUGCUUGGUAGCGUAGCUAACGCGUGAAAUUGACCGCCUGGGGAGUACGGUCGCAAGAUUAAAACUCAAAGGAAUUGACGGGGACCCGCACAAGCGGUGGAUGAUGUGGAUUAAUUCGAUGCAACGCGAAGAACCUUACCUGGUUUUGACAUGUGCGGAAUCCUCCGGAGACGGAGGAGUGCCUUCGGGAGCCGUAACACAGGUGCUGCAUGGCUGUCGUCAGCUCGUGUCGUGAGAUGUUGGGUUAAGUCCCGCAACGAGCGCAACCCUUGUCAUUAGUUGCCAUCAUUCGGUUGGGCACUCUAAUGAGACUGCCGGUGACAAGCCGGAGGAAGGUGGGGAUGACGUCAAGUCCUCAUGGCCCUUAUGACCAGGGCUUCACACGUCAUACAAUGGUCGGUACAGAGGGUAGCCAAGCCGCGAGGCGGAGCCAAUCUCACAAAACCGAUCGUAGUCCGGAUUGCACUCUGCAACUCGAGUGCAUGAAGUCGGAAUCGCUAGUAAUCGCAGGUCAGCAUACUGCGGUGAAUACGUUCCCGGGUCUUGUACACACCGCCCGUCACACCAUGGGAGUGGGGGGAUACCAGAAGUAGGUAGGGUAACCGCAAGGAGCCCGCUUACCACGGUAUGCUUCAUGACUGGGGUGAAGUCGUAACAAGGUAGCCGUAGGGGAACCUGCGGCUGGAUCACCU
rnacentral:rRNA from 1 species